rnacentral:rRNA from 1 species
GAUGAACGCUGGCGGCGCGCCUAACACAUGCAAGUCGAACGGUUAAAGCACCUUUUAGGUGUGUAUAAAGUGGCGAACGGCUGAGUAACACGUGGGCAACCUGCCCUCCUCUUGGGGAUAGCCUCGGGAAACCGAGGAUAAUACCCGAUACUUCAAUGUGGCCGCAUGACGACAUUGAGAAAGCUUUUGCGGAGAAGGAUGGGCCCGCGGCCUGUUAGCUUGUUGGUGGGGUAGAGGCCUACCAAGGCAAUGAUGGGUAGCUGGGUUGAGAGACCGACCAGCCAGAUUGGGACUGAGACACGGCCCAGACUCCUACGGGAGGCAGCAGUGGGGAAUCUUGCACAAUGGGCGAAAGCCUGAUGCAGCGACGCCGCGUGCGGGACGAAGGCCUUCGGGUUGUAAACCGCUUUCAGCAGGGACGAGGCGAAAGUGACGGUACCUGCAGAAGAAGCCCCGGCUAACUACGUGCCAGCAGCCGCGGUAAUACGUAGGGGGCAAGCGUUAUCCGGAUUCAUUGGGCGUAAAAGCGCUCGUAGGCGGUCUGUUAAGGUCGGGAGUUAAAUCCGGAGGCUCAACCUCCGCCCGCUCCCGAUACCGGCAGACUUGAGUUUGGUAGGGGAAGGUGGAAUUCCUAGUGUAGCGGUGGAAUGCG